AUUGAACGCUGGCGGCAGGCCUAACACAUGCAAGUCGAGCGAGCGGCGGAUGGGUGAGUAAAGUCUGGGAAACUGCCUGAUGGAGGGGGAUAACUACUGGAAACGGUAGCUAAUACAGCAUACCAUCAGAGGUGCCCAGAGGGGAUUAGCUAGUAGGUGGGGUAACGGCUCACCUAGGCGACGAUCCCUAGCUGGUCUGAGAGGAUGACCAGCCACACUGGAACUGAGACACGGUCCAGACUCCUACGGGAGGCAGCAGUGGGGAAUAUUGCACAAUGGGCGCAAGCCUGAUGCAGCCAUGCCGCGUGUAUGAAGAAGGCCUUCGGGUUGUAAAGUACUUUCAGCGGGGAGGCGUUACCCGCAGAAGAAGCACCGGCUAACUCCGUGCCAGCCGCCGCGGUAAUUC
rnacentral:rRNA from 1 species